rnacentral:rRNA from 1 species
AGAACGAACGCUGGCGGCAGGCCUAACACAUGCAAGUCGAACGAGAAGCCACCUUCGGGUGGUGGACAGUGGCAGACGGGUGAGUAACGCGUGGGAACGUGCCUUUCGGUUCGGGAUAACCCAGGGAAACUUGGGCUAAUACCGGAUACGCCCUUCGGGGGAAAGAUUCAUUGCCGAAAGAUCGGCCCGCGUCGGAUUAGCUAGUUGGUGGGGUAAUGGCCUACCAAGGCGACGAUCCGUAGCUGGUCUGAGAGGAUGACCAGCCACACUGGGACUGAGACACGGCCCAGACUCCUACGGGAGGCAGCAGUGGGGAAUAUUGGACAAUGGGCGAAAGCCUGAUCCAGCCAUGCCGCGUGGGUGAAGAAGGCCUUAGGGUUGUAAACCCCUUUCAGCGGGGAAGAUAAUGACGGUACCCGCAGAAGAAGUCCCGGCUAACUCCGCGCCAGCAGCCGC